rnacentral:lncRNA from 1 species
AUGCAAAUAUCAGAGUGGUAGGAAGUGUAUGGGGGAGGUGCCCCCAGCAGAAAACACUUGGUUGAAAAGUUGAUCACUGUGCCUUGGUGUGAAGGGCAUGAAGAUGACAGACGAAGAGACAUAAGGUCUGAUGAAAUUCAGAGGCAGUUCAUUCCAAAGAUCCAAGGACAGACAGAAAUGUGACAGCAGACACGUGGCAGCAGGCUAAGUGGGUGGAAUGAAGAGACACGUCUUUGUUUAAAGUUCAUUUGAGACUGGUGUCAGUAGAACAGCAGCGAGAGGAAGGCGGAAAAACGUUGGCAGGAAAAGCGCUGAUCUUCACAUCACCCGUGGGGGAGCCUGCUGCAAAUCCAAACAUGUCCUUCAAAACUCACAUGCACAACUCUGUGUUUCUGCAGACAGCUCUGCAUGUUGGAGAAAACCGUGAUCGAGGUGCCAUGCUGCAAGCAAUGAUCUGGCCCUCACCAGAUGCCAACCUACCAGCACCUUCAUCUUGGACUUCCAGCCUCCAGAACCAUGAGAAAUCAAUUUCUAUUAUCCAUAAAUUACCCAGUCAAUGGGAUUUUCUUAUAACACCAGAAAUGAAUUAAGACAGCCCCAGAAGUUCCUAUAAGUCCAUAAAGAAUCCAGAACUUACUUUUUGAGCCUCGGUUUAUUCAUCUGCAAAAUGGGAGACAUUAGCCUCUACAGGAAAUGUAGGGCUUUUUUCUCUUCUCACUUCUCUCCUCAGCCUGCAGUCCUGGCAGUCAGCCUGCAGGCAGGCAGAACUGCUGGCCUAUGGUGCUUGCAAUAGGUUGGGUUAGGUUGACAAGGGUGGUGUGUCCUUACCUCUCUCCGUGGAGACAGUACUCAUGUUUUUCUUUGCUCUGGGCCCUCGGGACCACUGUAAGCUCUUCUCUCCUUCUGAGCUCACUGCCAGCUGCAGACCGCUCUCUUCUCCUUACCUCCUCCCUGUGCAUACUCACCAUCCCCUUCCUGUGCUCUCAGUCACUUGCUCAGGCUAACCACCCUUGGUCACCACGAGAAAGUAACUCUGAGGCAUGAGUCUGUUGUCAACUCUCAGAGAAGCAUCUCAGUGCUGUCCUCCCUCCCCGUGCUGUGCACUAACUAGUUCCCUCCAGGCCUCCUCCAGCAGCUCUUUCAAGCCCCAGACACCCCUUCUUUCCACCUGUUCCUCGUUGAUCCCCCACCCUCAUCAUGAUCCAUUCCCAGCAAGCUCACAAAGACACUGGUGAGUAC